rnacentral:rRNA from 1 species
UACGGAGGGGCUAGCGUUGUUCGGAAUUACUGGGCGUAAAGCGCACGUAGGCGGCUUUGUAAGUUAGAGGUGAAAGCCCAGGGCUUAACCCUGGAAUUGCCUUUAAGACUGCAUCGCUAGAAUCGUGGAGAGGUGAGUGGAAUUCCGAGUGUAGAGGUGAAAUUCGUAGAUAUUCGGAAGAACACCAGUGGCGAAGGCGACUCACUGGACACGAUUGACGCUGAGGUGCGAAAGCGUGGGGAGCAAACAGGG